UGCAAUCACUUCUUAUAUGCAUUGUUUGACGAAGUGACAAGUACAAAACGGGACGUAUAUAUAUAGUCUCAAUGGUUGCACUGCAUGCAUGUUGUUUUAAUGGUUGUUAUUAUAUUUGGAUAUCUUCCAGGCCAAAUUAUGUUUAAUAUAUGUAUCCUAUCGGUAUGAUAUUAUACAUGAUUUAUUUGACUGCCUUUUAGAUAAUGAAGUUUAAUAUGGUGGUUGUUUAUUAUAUUGGUCCAAGUGGGAGAGAUAUUUGAAUUUUUGUAUGGACUAAUAUAAUCACAAACAUAAUUCCAUAUUCACAACCAUGUUAGGUGUUUAAAGAGACAAUAUGAGUUAAGUUUUUUGCUAUGACACUCAAAAGGAUUUAGAUUUGAUGGGUUGUAUCGUUUCAUUCCAAAUAGCCUUAUAUAGGUUGAGACUGAAUAAUGAUUUAAUUUGCAGACCUUGUUUUUGGGCAAUCGCAAUCUCAAAGUUUAAUUGUGAAAGAGAAAAUGAUUAUCUCAAUGGUUUUUUUUUUUAUAGUACUAUGGUUCAUAUAUUUGUCUCUUCUAUCCACUAUUGAUGAUGAGUAAAUAAAGCUGUCCAUGUUGGAUUUUCAAGUUGGGGUUAGUCAAGGGUCAAAAGAUUAUUUAGGGAAUAACUAGACUUAUCCCUUGUUUUGCUUCCGCUGUUCUUCUUGCCGACCCUACAAUCAGCCAGAAUAUGAUAAGAAACUCCAUAUGUGAACAAGCAAAGAUAUAGGAUCGAAAUAGUUUUACAGACCUACAAUUACAAGUAGGAAAUAAGGUUAACGACAUAUACCUCAAAAUUGUUAAUCGAUAGCCAUUAGUAGUUCUUAAUCCUUAUUUGGAGAGCUGAUAUGUUAAUAUCAUGAUUUCCAAGAUAUAAUCAAACAUGGAAGUUUAGGCUUAAUCACAUGAUAACUGAGAGAUUUUUCUUGAUGACAGGUCUUGUUGAGAACAGACUAUUUGAGGAACAAAUUAAGGUUGAUUAAAGCCUAUAGCUAGUUACCAUUAUGAUGGAAUGAACUGUUCAAAAUACAUUAUUAUUGGAUGAUAAAGUGCUGACUAUUUGGAAAUCAAUAUAGAAGGAUGUGAGAACUAAAUUCUUAUUUUAGAAUUUCAUUUGGCUCAAUCAAGCCUUGAGAAGGCAACUGACAAGGACACCCGAAUUCAAUGGAUUAAAUUCAUUUUGGAAAGGCAUCAAGACAAUGACUAUUAUUAUUCUCAGAAUGGACAAUUCGAAACAUUAUCGUUAGUCAAUAUUAUGUGAGAGAUCAAUGGGAACAAUGAUAUGUUUAUAUUAUUACAUGGUUAGUACAUUGCUCAUAAUUUAUGAUGUUGAUCUAAUCUGGAGACAAGUAAAACUGUUAUUUGAUAGUCUCUGUUGGAUGAAGAAUUUUAGAGAAGCCUUGCAUGGUCUAAGUAUUUAGAUUCUUCAUGUUGAGAUCAACGGAAAGAUGAAUUAUCUCAUAGAUUAUGUUGACUGACUUUUGAUGUGAGUAAUGUUUCAAUUUCAUUGAGAACUUUGGAAUAGUCUAAAGUGUGAUGUAUUGUGAAAGGCCUAAAGUCCACGUGUAUUGAUAAUGAUGAGAGAUCAAUUUUGAGAUUGUUCCAUACAUGCUUGUUGAAGGCAGCCUCGAGUGUUCUCAUGUAUAUGCAUUCCCUAUUGUGAUAUUUGUCAUGGGCAUGUUGGAUUGGUACUUGAGUAGUCAUCCUUAUGGUAUCAAGGAUGUCUUUGCAAUCGACAAAUCAACAUUAUGACGCUUAAUAGUUGGUUUUAGUGAUAUCGAUUGAACAGAGUGCAUGGAUGUCAAAAUCCUCUAUAAUGGUAGGAGGAGCUAUUUUAUGAUUAAGUGUCUAAUCAAAUAAACACCUACAAUUUCCUCUCCCAUACAUGUAGGUAUAAUGGUAAAAGGAGUUAUUUUGUAAUUUGGUGUUAGGUGGACACUUACAGCAUCCUCAUUCAUAGAUGUAGAGUGAGUGACGUGUUAUGAGGACAUGGUUUAUACAAUACAACUGUGAUAUUUUGUUUCAAUGUCAAGAGUAGUUUACUCUAUUGUGAAUUUACUGAACUUAUGUGAUAAAUGUCGCAGUCAUAUCUUUCUCUCGGAACUUGCGGAGUCUUGUUACUCCAUUAAUGAAGAUGACGUUCCAUUUGUAAUGAGAAAGUUGUGGAGUCCUUUAUUUGCAUCAUGACACGCACUUAUAGAUAACAUGUCAAUAACUACACUGACAAGGCUUGCCUAACCGUGUGUACUGAGAACAUACUUCUUAUGUGGAUUGUUAGGUGCCAAAGAUGUAUUUAAUCAGUGGGAGUUACUGUUUUCAUAUAUGAUAGACAUGUUAAGGAUUGUUAUUUAUUGUUGAAUACAUGCAUAUUGUGGAUCACUCUUUGGCAUUAUGAGUGCACACUCGUUUGGUAAUGAUAUAAUGAUGCGAGCCAAUGGCUUAGUCUAGAUAUCAUGUUUGAGUGGAUCCAUAUUGGGAGUUAUCGCCAUGCUUUAUGAAUCUCCAAUGUCUCGUUAUGUAUCAUAUUUGUAUCCUAUCGAUGUGAUAUGAUGCAUAAUUUGUUUUAUAGACAUUUGUGGUUCUUGAGAUUCUUGUGUAUAGACAUUAUUGUUCAAUGAGCACUUGUUGGUUUAAUUAUGUAGUCCAAGUGGGAGAAUGUUAGAAUAUUUUAUAUGGACUGACAUAAUUAUACGUUGCUCACGUAGUGUCGUGAUUAGCAUGUAAGGAUAACUAUAUAAUCGGUAUUGCAUGCUAUUACCAUCGAGCCAUAAUGGGAUGGACAUAAUGUACUAACACGCUCGGGGCCCAUGGACACGCUCUCAAUGUCUUUAGGCCAGCCCAUUGGGCCAAGGCAACUAAUCCUCUCAUUGGGUAUCUAGGCCCAAUAAGCCCAUUAUAGUUUAUAAAAGGGGUUACACCCUUUUAUAAAGUGUGUGUGGACAAUGGGUGUUUAGAGGAAAAGGAGAGAAAGAGAGUAGUGUUCAUCUACACCCCAAGCACGCCUUUGAUCUUUGAUGUGUAGGUGGGUGAAAUGUGAUGAGCAUAAUCAUGAAGAAUGAUGGUUCAUAGACUUGAUCACAAAGGUAAAGGCAAGGGAAAGCUCGAUCAGAGCUGAUUUGGAGAGCUCUGAGAGCAGAAUGUACAUGAUCAGCUGUUCAACCGCCACGGUUGAGAGGGAGACAGGAACAGGAGAACCAUAAAUAUUGUUUUGCCCUUAGAGUGGCUAAUGGUUGUUUGAACUCUGGAAAUUUUGUAAACAGACUUUUGAACGCUGUUCCUUUUUGGGAUCCCAUGUGUAAAAAUGUGGUGUAAGGCGUCCUGAGUUUAUCCCGAACUAAGGAUGCAAUGGCUGUGAAGCGCGAGCUCAUAAUUUUAAACAGCUGUCGAAGCACGAGCUUGGUGAUGAUAUCUAGCUCGUGGUAAUUCUAAUAUACUGCAUACCCUCGGAUCCCUAGAGACUCGGGAUCCCUUUAUACGUUUAUUUA